rnacentral:rRNA from 1 species
GAUGAACGCUGGCGGCGUGCCUAAUACAUGCAAGUCGAGCGAACGGACGAGAAGCUUGCUUCUCUGAUGUUAGCGGCGGACGGGUGAGUAACACGUGGAUAACCUACCUAUAAGACUGGGAUAACUUCGGGAAACCGGAGCUAAUACCGGAUAAUAUUUUGAACCGCAUGGUUCAAAAGUGAAAGACGGUCUUGCUGUCACUUAUAGAUGGAUCCGCGCUGCAUUAGCUAGUUGGUAAGGUAACGGCUUACCAAGGCAACGAUGCAUAGCCGACCUGAGAGGGUGAUCGGCCACACUGGAACUGAGACACGGUCCAGACUCCUACGGGAGGCAGCAGUAGGGAAUCUUCCGCAAUGGGCGAAAGCCUGACGGAGCAACGCCGCGUGAGUGAUGAAGGUCUUCGGAUCGUAAAACUCUGUUAUUAGGGAAGAACAUAUGUGUAAGUAACUGUGCACAUCUUGACGGUACCUAAUCAGAAAGCCACGGCUAGCUACGUG